UACGAAGGGGGCUAGCGUUGCUCGGAAUCACUGGGCGUAAAGCGCACGUAGGCGGCUUUUUAAGUCAGGGGUGAAAUCCUGGAGCUCAACUCCAGAACUGCCUUUGAUACUGAGAAGCUUGAGUCCGGGAGAGGUGAGUGGAACUGCGAGUGUAGAGGUGAAAUGCAUUGAGAUCGGAAAGAACACCAACGGCGAAAGCACUCUGCUGGGCCGACACUGACACUGAGAGACGAAAGCUAGGGGAGCAAACAGG
rnacentral:rRNA from 1 species